rnacentral:rRNA from 1 species
GACGAACGCUGGCGGCGUGCCUAAUACAUGCCAGUCGAGCGAAGUGUUUCUGGUGCUUGCACUAGAAAAACUUAGCGGCGAACGUGUGAGUCACACGUAAAGAACCUGCCUCAUAGACUGGGACAACUAUUGGAAACGAUAGCUAAUACCGGAUAACAGUAUUUCUCGCAUGAGAGAUAUUUAAAAGUUUGUUAUGCUAACACUAUGAGAUGUCUUUGCGGUGCAUUAGCUAGUUGGUGGGGUAAAGGCCCACCAAGGCGACGAUGCAUAGCCGACCUGAGAGGGUGAUCGGCCACACUGGGACUGAGACACGGCCCAGACUCCUACGGGAGGCAGCAGUAGGGAAUCUUCCGCAAUGGGCGAAAGCCUGACGGAGCAACGCCGCGUGAGUGAAGAAGGAUUUCGGUUCGUAAAGCUCUGUUGUUAGGGAAGAAUGGAUAUGUAGUAACUAUACAUGUAAGAGACGGUACCUAACCAGAAAGCCACGGCUAACUACGUG